ensembl:lncRNA
UACUGGACAGUAGGGAUAGUACCGUCGACAGCGGAGAGAACUUGGGAACCUCUGAAAUUGCUAGGAGUUAGAGUCUCCUAUUUUUUGCGCUUAUUGGGUAUGCUGGCAAAUUAAGUUAGGUUUAGAGAUCUGGACAGGACAGUCUGGGACCGCCCUGGUGAAUUGAGCACAAAAAGUCUGGGACUGAUCGGUUGGAGCCGUUAUGUUCUAUUAUCGAAAUUACAUAGGAGUUGAAAAGGCCUAAAAAAAAUCUGUGCAGUUGUAAUUUAAGACGUCUGUAAUAUAAAAUAUGAGAUCUAUGAGUAGGAUCAGUCUCUGUGUUAGUGAUGCACAGCCGGAUGUGCACUGAUUGUGUGUGUAAAUGCAAAUGAGCAGCAGUGACGCGCAAAGAGGGUGGUUUCAGUUUUCGAGAGGACUGAGCUUUUUGCUAAAUGCCUGUAUAUAAGAGGUUGGUUUUGCUUAUUAUGAGAGUGUAAAUACAGUGUGAAUAUAUUAGUGUGGAUGCAUAGUAAAUGACUGAAUUUUGAUAGAUGUAUAGUUCGUGAGCCAUAAAUGUUGGUGUGUUCAUUUUCAGUUAUGUGUGUGGGGAGAAGCCGUGAGAACUUUUAAAGGUGUGUAUGGAAUAAAGGAGUGUGAAAUAUAUUUCUUGGGUGAUGAAAAGUAGGAUGUGCUAAAGUUUGAAAGUGUUUUUAAUUCAAGAAAACAAAAACAAAGGAGUUAGAUUAGUUUGAGGAACAGGAAAUAUUGCUCUGUGUAUCGGGGCUGCAGCAACAGGAAAUAGUGAACAGGAACUGUGCAUGCCCAUAUAUGGGAACUGAGUGUGUGCAGAAAGAACACAGAGAGACAGACGAGGAAAUGGGAGCAAAUGAAGCCUUUAAGAAAAAAAUGAAUAUAAUACUAAUUAUAUGGUCAAUACAGGUGGGCGUCUUUCAACUUUGCAACCUUGAGUUCAGCAGCAGAAAAGUAGAUUAAAAGAAUUGGGAGAAUAAGCCAGUUUUUGGCUCGAAAUUGGGCGGCUGGAUCUCUCACUUUGUCCCUGAAGCAGAGAAGAAGUUCAAAGGACAGUCAAUCGCCUGAUGAAGACCGAUAGAACAUUGUGGACUUGAAUACAGCAGGCAAACGGCAGUGCCACUGAUCCAUUAACCCUGAUGACGACUGACGACCAGCAGCAGCAUGUAAGAGUAAUGUAACAUGUACUGUGAAAAUACAGGCUGGGCAGUUGAACAGUGGGAUAAAGAAUUGUGGAAGAGCACUGGACAUUGAGUGAUAUUUUGCCAUGCUGGGACUUAAUCUGAAAGAAAGACUGUAAAGAAACAGAGAAGAAGACAACAGCUGAGUUGAGACUGUGUUUGCUGGAGCUUUGAAGCCCGAACAGGACAUUGUGCAGAGAGGACCAGUGAGAGAUGAAGCUGGACGAGUUUGACUGCGAGAAUAUAGGAUAUAAUUGGAUUGAAAAUUGAAACCUGAACUCAUGAAUUGUUUAGGGAUGUCCACCAUAGCAUAACAAAGAGGUAAACAUUAGAAAAGGUAGGAAUAAUGAACGAAAAUAAUUGUCAUUACCUUAAUGAAUAGAAAACACACAUACAAAUUGUUACAUGUGAGAUUAUUUUUGAAAUGAAUCAGAAGUGAGAUAGUUUGAAUCUAAAGCUCAGUGGUGAAAUGCAUAAAUUAAAUAUGAAUAUAUAGGAUGCAAUGAAGAAACAGCUUACACGUAGUGUACAUUAACAUGAAUACAUCGCAAGGCAACGAAGAACUCAAUGAGUUAAUUUAAUGAAGAAGCAGUUUACACCCAAUUAACAUAAAAUGCAGGGAAGAACACGCUUACAUGCAUGGCAUAAUUGGUGUUUCUGACCAGAGACAGAGAAAUGGGUUAUUUAAGCACUUGUGAUAAUAAUGGAAAUGUCUUAGUUUUGUUAUUUUCAGGGGUAAAGCAGACCUGGACCAGUUCUCCAGAUGCACCAGUCGGAAGGAAAUUGUAGAUAAGUUAAGGCAAGUUUCUGGUUGAAUUGUUCACAGAAUCAUGUGUCCAUGAACCUGGAAAACAGGCCCUAGCUCCUGGCUGAAGACUAGGAGUGCUUUAUUUAAGGUGGGAAAUCAAAAUGUGGGUUAGUAACUGGGGAAAAAGAAAACUGACUGCUUAACUGGAGAAUUGGGAAGGAGUUUGGGAGACUGUGAAGCCAUAGAUGCAAAAUAACACGUACACACACACAUAUAGAUUAGAGAAUGCAUUAAUCUUACAGAGACAAGCUCAUGAAGAUUAAUGAAUAGAUAUUAAAAACCUGGCUAAGAACACAAGCAUAUGCAAUGAAGAUCUGCUUGCUGCUUGUAUGAGUGAGAGAAUGGUGUGAAUGGUUAAUACAACUGAUGGAAAGAUUUAAAAUAGAUGGAAAAAACAAAAGAAGAGUGUUUAUAAGAGUGACUCAGCAGUGCUUUUGCACUGAGUGAUUAAAACAAGUGAUUAGUAUAGAAAGAAAAUGAAAAUAAUUCAAUAAUGUGAUAAAGUUUAAACAUGUAUUCCUCUUGUUAAGUUGGCUGUUGAGCUGUGGGUUUAUGCAAAUUAGCUGGAGUGAGUGAGUGACAAAGACACUUCCUGUGUGCGUGUGUGUCGGAGGCUUUCGGUUCAGUUCAAGAGAGAGCAGUGGCUGUUGAAGAGUAUUGGGAGAAAUAUAUAAUGGUAAAGUAUCAGGAUAUUUGAUUACGGUGGUCAGGUCUGUUCAGAGGGGCAGAUUUGGACAGGAAAUUUAUAAUUUAAGGAUGAUACGUUGUUGAAAUUGGUUUUUAUCUUGUGCUGAAUGAAAACGGUCUUUGAUCUUUUGACGAGGUUUUCGUGUGUUGAAUGGGUGAAAUUUAAGAUUGUUUCAGAUUUUUGAGGCUGUUGUUUUAUUUCCAGAGAGGGUGUUUAAUUAAGACAUGGAUCUGUCUGAGAGGGGCCCCAAAAAUUUUUUUUUGUAGUAGUGCACUCAGGAAAAACCUGUCAGGUGAUUUUGUUUGGUACUUUGAUGAGCUAAUAAUCAGCUCUCUUUUUUUCAUUUUUGUUCUAAGCAGGCCUGGAAGAGAGUGAACGGACGGCGCUGACAAAAUUACCAAGUACGAAAAUCAGGUGGGCUUUACAGAAUUAUAAUUGAUUACAAUCAGAGACUGAUUGGCGGCAAGUCUCUGUCUAAAAAUGGAUUGUAUCGAUUCAAUCCAGUCAAAAGUAUAGAGAACUAUUUUCCUAAACAGGAAAACGAAAUAAAACGAAUGAUUGAGCUCAUUUUGCUGAUGUGGAGCAUCUGAUGACGUGCGCAGGAGGCUGCAGAUCAGCAAAAAAAUAUCAUGUGUGAAUGCAUGUGAGUGAAUGUGAGUGACUGGACUAAGGUGGGAAUGAAUAAAUGUGGACAGAUUUAUCAUGUGAGGAAAAGAAAGAGGAUGCUUUGUUUUGCUUUUGCCAUAGGCAGGACAAGUGGGAGACUUAAGUCUGGGGAGGCUGAUUUUGGGAUGCUGAUGUUUGCUUUGAGAAAAUUUCUUUUUACGGGGGUUAGAUUAUGGGAUUACAUUAUAUUGUUGGGAGAAUGCUAAAUGCUAAAAGGGAAACAUUGUUUGAUGAGAUUCAAGUUACCAUUAACUGAGGUAACUCAGGAUUAAUAACUGUUCUGUUCAAGUUUAUUUUUGUUAUGACAUAGACGGGAUCAUAAAGGGAGAGUUGAGUAUGAAAUGUAAACUACAGGUUUUGUUUUCAGGAAAUUCCAAGGAUCCAGAGUUCAAUGGAGCAACGAGUUGGAGAAGAUUUGACAUGAUGAUUAAAUUGAUUUUGUUCUUUAAACACAGGUUUUCAGGGCUAAAGCAAAACACCGGAGAGGAGAAUUGCUGAGCUGUUCUGAGAAAUGAAAUGACUAACCUUUUUCCUUUUAAUUUGUUAAGCUUGGG